ACGGAAGGCAGCAGUGGGGAAUAUUGCACAAUGGGGGAAACCCUGAUGCAGCGACGCCGCGUGAGCGAUGAAGUAUUUCGGUAUGUAAAGCUCUAUCAGCAGGGAAGAAAAUGACGGUACCUGACUAAGAAGCUCCGGCUAAAUACGUGCCAGCAGCCGCGGUAAUACGUAUGGAGCAAGCGUUAUCCGGAUUUACUGGGUGUAAAGGGAGCGUAGGCGGAAGGCUAAGUCUGAUGUGAAAACCCAGGGCUCAACCUUGGGACUGCAUUGGAAACUGGUUUUCUAGAGUGUCGGAGGGGUAAGUGGAAUUCCUAGUGUAGCGGUGAAAUGCGUAGAUAUUAGGAGGAACACCAGUGGCGAAGGCGGCUUACUGGACGACAACUGACGCUGAGGCUCGAAAGCGUGGGGAGCAAACAGGAUUAGAUACCCUGGUA
rnacentral:rRNA from 1 species